GGGGAUAUAGCUCAGUUGGUAGAGUGCUUGCUUUGCAUGCACAAGGCCCUGGGUUCAAUCCCCAGUACCACAA
rnacentral:tRNA from 1 species